rnacentral:rRNA from 1 species
AACGAACGCUGGCGGCAGGCUUAACACAUGCAAGUCGAACGCCCGUAGCAAUACGGGAGUGGCAGACGGGUGAGUAACGCGUGGGAAUCUCCCCAAAGGUACGGAACAACUCAGGGAAACUUGAGCUAAUACCGUAUGUGCCCGAGAGGGCAAAGAUUUAUCGCCUUUGGAUGAGCCCGCGUUGGAUUAGCUAGUUGGUGGGGUAAUGGCCUACCAAGGCGACGAUCCAUAGCUGAUCUGAGAGGAUGAUCAGCCACACUGGGACUGAGACACGGCCCAGACUCCUACGGGAGGCAGCAGUGGGGAAUCUUGGACAAUGGGCGAAAGCCUGAUCCAGCCAUGCCGCGUGAGUGAAGAAGGCCUUAGGGUUGUAAAGCUCUUUUGCCCGGGAAGAUAAUGACGGUACCGGGAGAAUAAGCCCCGGCAAACUUCGUGCCAGCAGCCGCGGUAAUACGAAGGGGGCUAGCGUUGUUCGGAUUUACUGGGCGUAAAGCGCACGUAGGCGGAGUU